rnacentral:rRNA from 1 species
CCUACGGGUGGCAGCAGUGGGGAAUAUUGCGCAAUGGGCGAAAGCCUGACGCAGCGACGCCGCGUGAGGGAUGAAGGUCUUCGGAUCGUAAACCUCUGUCAGCAGAGACGAACGGUCACUGUGCUAAUCAGCAGUGAAUUGACGGUCCCUGCAACGGAAGCCCCGGCUAACUCCGUGCCAGCAGCCGCGGUAAUACGGAGGGUGCGAGCGUUAAUCGGAAUUACUGGGCGUAAAGCGCUCGUAGGCGGUAUGUCAAGUCACGGGUGAAAUCCCCGCGCUAAACGUGGGAACUGCCUUUGAAACUGGGAAACUGGAGUGUGUGAGAGGAUAGUGGAAUUCCAGGUGUAGGAGUGAAAUGCGUAGAUAGAUGGAGGAACAUCAGUGGCGAAGGCGACUAUCUGGCACAUAACUGACGCUGAGGAGCGAAAGCGUGGGUAGCAAACAGGAUUAGAUACCCGUGUAGUC